GUAGCAGAAUAGUUUGUUCUUUAAUUGGGAGUUGGUAUGAAAGGUUACACAAAGAGUAUCAUUUUAAAUUAAAUGAAGUAAAUUAAAAUUUAAGUUAAAAUGCUUGAAUAAGAUAAAGGGACGAUAAGACCCUAAAAGCUUUAUUUUAGAUAGUAAUUUUAUGGUGAGCAGAUAUAAGGAAAAUUAGCUGGGGAAGCGGUAUUGAAAAAUUAAUAUAAUAAUAAAUUAUAGUUUAAGUUAAAGGUUCUUUUAUAUAAGAAUUGUUAGAGAGAGUUACUUUAGGGAUAACAGCGCAAUGGUUUUGGAGAGUUCUUAUUUAUAGAAUUAUGUGCGACCUCGAUGUUGAAUUAGGAUUUCUUGAAGGGGCAGAAAACUUACAGGAGGGUUUGUUCAACCUUUAAAUUUUU
rnacentral:rRNA from 1 species